rnacentral:sRNA from 1 species
ACGCUACCUUACCGGGGGGGGAUGAGAACACCCGGCCGGGGUUCGACAACUGGCGCAGCCAGUUGGACAGACGACGAGCCUGCGAGGAGACUGCCCGCAGGGCGAGCGCAGCGAGUCAAUCCCCCCCUCACCGCCA